rnacentral:rRNA from 1 species
CCUACGGGAGACAGCAGUGGGGAAUAUUGCACAAUGGGGGAAACCCUGAUGCAGCGACGCCGCGUGAGUGAAGAAGUAAUUCGUUAUGUAAAGCUCUAUCAGCAGGGAAGAAAAUGACGGUACCUGAGUAAGAAGCCCCGGCUAACUACGUUCCAGCAGCCGUGGUUAUACGUAGGGGGCAAGCGUUAUCCGGAUUUACUGGGUGUAAAGGGAGCGUAGACGGCAGGGCAAGUCUGGAGUGAAAGGCGGGGGCUCAACCCCGGGACUGCUCUGGGAACUGGACGGCUGGAGUGCGGGAGAGGCAAGUGGAAUUCGUCGUGUAGCGGUGAAAUGCGUAGAUAUUAGGAAGAACCCCAGUUGCGAAGGCGGCUUACUGGACUGUAACUGACGUUGAGGCUCGAAAGCGUGGGGAGCGAACAGGAUUAGAUACCCCUGUAGUC